UGAACAAGCAAGGGAGCUCGGAAGAGGACCCAAGCUCCAGUUGAGAACACGUGAUUCCAGCCUUGUAAGGCCCCACCCAAAGGACCCAGAGGCAGAUCAACAACAUAGGUGAUGAGGGCAGGUAUUGUCUUCCCCAUUUGCUGAGACAAUGGGACAACUGAGGACUGCCAGGAGUAAGAAAUUAUUUUCAAAAUGAAAGCAGAAAAUCUUCACUGAACAUUUUGCUCUGCUUGGUGCUGUGGAAGGUACCAGCCAGACAUGGAGAGGGAACUCAGCCAUAAGAGGCUUAAAGUCAGACAACAGAGAAGACUCACAUUCACAAUCAGCAGCACACACAACAGGGAAUAACAUUUUCCAAGAGUGAUACUCAAGCCACAUGCUGUGGGAACGCACUGCCAUGAACUAAGAAAGGCCUAGAUUUCCCAACUAGGGAUGGGCCCUUGCACCUAGGACAGUGGAAAGCCCCUGAAGAUUUAUGAGAAGGGCCAAGUUGUUUGCUUGUGUGUUAAAUGUUUUAUUAAGCAAUAUGUUUGUGAAUAAGGAAGAAGACAAACUAGAUGCCAGGAGACGAGCUGCCCACACAUAGCUUAAGAGAAGGGUGGAACACUGGCUCCCUCUGGGAGGCUGCAGGAUUGUCUGAACACCCAUCCCCCAAAGCCACUGCCAACUGCUACAGCAGAGCUGGGGGCCCAAACCUAGAGCAAUGCCACCUGGAGAGAAAGCAGCAGUGAGAAGUGGAGGAUCCAGCAGUUACCCUACAGGGACCCAGGUAUGGUGCCUGAGUGGCAGGUGGGAGGGUGUGUCUGUGCAGAGACCCCUGUGCUGAGGCCUGCCUCAGAGCAGCCACCAUCAAAGCCAGCCCUUGAGGGUUGAAGAACGGUUCAUCUUUCAAGGCACAGAUCAGAGGGGGCAUUUCCAGGGGCCAGGAAAGCAGCUCACCGGGCAAUGCCAUUUAUGCAGCCAAAGCCUCACUUGAGCAGACCCCUUGGCACAAGUUUGGACUCCACAUGCUUUAGCCAAGAGGCGUCCUUUCUGAGGCUGAUAGAAUGUGUGCACGGACCGGCCCCAAACCCAGCUUUCUUGCCUCUUAAAAGAUGCUUUCUUUUAUUAUUGUUGACUUUGUUUUUAUGUUUCUUUCACUUUUGCCUGACCUCCACAUCUAGAGACACUGUGUGGCCUCUGUAAGUUGCUCUGAUUUUCCAACUAAGUCACAAAGGCACAGAUAAAGGGGGAAAUCCAGAAAACUGCCAAAGUGAGGUGUUUACUCCAUAAUAACCUCCAACUCACAGGGUUCUUUGGAGAAAAAGAUGAAAAAACAGGCUGGAAAACAUUAUAUAAACUGUAAAGGAAUAUCCCCAAAGGUGCUGUUCUAAUUAUUAAAUUGACAUAGGGCAAAAAUAAGGCAUCCUUAGACUCUGAGGUAUAACCAAGUAAAAGCAACAUGAAAUGAAUGAGCUCAGGCAUCUUCAGAAGCCUACAUUCAACUAACUUGUCUCUCAGGGCAAGAAGGAACAAGAUCUUGGUAAUCUAAUCUAAUGUCCUUUUAGCUGUAAGAAAGUCUAGUGAAAAUCAAUGGUCUGAGUACAUCUGAAGAAAGAUUACUUAAAUUAAACGGGUCUGCCGUAAGAGGAAGCUUGGGAGAGAGAAGGCAACAAAUAUCUGCCUCCUCCAUGCAUAUCUCAUCAGUCAGCAGGAAUCAAGGGUGGCGCCAGUUAUGUGGUCCAAUUUAGGGAACUUGGGUCUCGGCCCUGAAGUCAAGGCCAGAAAGACACAGUCCUACAAAGAACCAGCGUAGAACUGAGAGAUCCAGUAUCAGUUCAAAGACCAAUAACAAGUUAAAUAUUAAUUAACUAAAUUGGAA